rnacentral:rRNA from 1 species
GACGGGGCCGCACAGCGGAGGAACAUGUGGUUUAAUUCGAUGAUACGCGAGGAACCUUACCCGGGCUUGAAAUGCAUCUGACCGGCCUUGAAAGAGGUUUUUCCCUUCGGGGCAGAUGUGUAGGUGCUGCAUGGUUGUCGUCAGCUCGUGCCGUGAGGUGUCGGCUUAAGUGCCAUAACGAGCGCAACCCUCAUCAUUAGUUACCAUCAGGUAAGGCUGGGGACUCUAAUGAGACUGCCAUCGUAAGAUGUGAGGAAGGUGGGGAUGACGUCAAAUCAGCACGGCCCUUACGUCCGGGGCGACACACGUGUUACAAUGGGUGGUACAAAGGGCAGCUACCUGGCGACAGGAUGCUAAUCUCCAAAACCACUCUCAGUUCGGAUCGGAGUCUGCAACUCGACUCCGUGAAGCUGGAUUCGCUAGUAAUCGCGCAUCAGCCACGGCGCGGUGAAUACGUUCCCGGGCCUU